rnacentral:rRNA from 1 species
UACGUAGGGGGCGAGCGUUGUCCGGAUUUACUGGGCGUAAAGAGCGCGUAGGCGGCUCGGCGCGUCGGGUGUGAAAGGCGCGGGCUCAACCCGCGGACGUCACCCGAGACGGUCGGGCUUCGAGGGCAGUAGAGGAAGGUGGAAUCCCGGGUGUAGUGGUGAAAUGCGUAGAGAUCCGGGGGAACACCGGUGGCGAAGGCGGCCUUCUGGGCUGGCCCUGACGCUGAGGCGCGAAAGCGUGGGGAGCGAACUGA